CAACAGGGAUUGCCUCAGUAACGGCGAGUGAAGCGGCAACAGCUCAAAUUUGAAAUCUGGCCCUAGGCCCGAGUUGUAAUUUGCAGAGGAUGCUUUUGGUGCGGUGCCUUCCAAGUUCCCUAGAACGGGACGCCAGAGAGGGUGAGAGCCCCGUACAGUUGGACACCAAGCCUUUGUAAAGCUCCUUCGACGAGUCGAGUAGUUUGGGAAUGCUGCUCAAAAUGGGAGGUAUAUUUCUUCUAAAGCUAAAUACCGGCCAGAGACCGAUAGCGCACAAGUAGAGUGAUCGAAAGAUGAAAAGCACUUUGAAAAGAGGGUUAAACAGCACGUGAAAUUGUUAAAAGGGAAGCGCUUGUGACCAGACUUGCGUCCGGUGAAUCACCCAGCUCUCGCGGCUGGGGCACUUCGCCGGCUCAGGCCAGCAUCAGCUCGCUGUCGGGGACAAAAGCUUCGGGAACGUAGCUCUCUUCGGGGAGUGUUAUAGCCUGUUGCACAAUACCCUUCGGCGGGCUGAGGUACGCGCUCCGCAAGGAUGCUGGCAUAAUGGUCAUCAGCGACCCGUCUUGAAACACGGACCAAGGAGUCAACCUUAUGUGCGAGUGUUCGGGUGUCAAACCCCUACGCGUAAUGAAAGUGAACGCAGGUGAGAGCUUCGGCGCAUCAUCGACCGAUCCUGAUGUUCUCGGAUGGAUUUGAGUAAGAGCAUAUAGGGUUGGACCCGAAAGAAGGUGAACUAUGCGUGUAUAGGGUGAAGCCAGAGGAAACUCUGGUGGAGGCUCGCAGCGGUUCUGACGUGCAAAUCGAUCGUCAAAUAUGCGCAUGGGGGCGAAAGACUAAUCGA
rnacentral:rRNA from 1 species